CCUACGGGAGGCAGCAGUGGGGAAUAUUGGACAAUGGGGGCAGCCCUGAUCCAGCGACGCCGCGUGUGUGAAGAAGGCCUGCGGGUUGUAAAGCACUUUUAGUGGGGAGGAAAACCCCUGACCUAACACGUCAGGAAUUGACUUAACCCAAAGAAAAAGCACCGGCUAACUCUGUGCCAGCAGCCGCGGUAAUACAGAGGGUGCAAGCGUUAAUCGGAAUUACUGGGCGUAAAGCGUGCGUAGACGGUUAUUUAAGUCGGAUGUGAAAUCCCCGGGCUCAACCUGGGAAUUGCAUUCGAGACUGAAUAGCUAGGGUGCGGAAGAGGGAAGCGGAAUUUCCGGUGUAGCGGUGAAAUGCGUAGAUAUCGGAAGGAACAUCAGUGGCGAAAGCGGCUUCCUGGUCCAGCACCGACGUUCAGGCACGAAAGCGUGGGGAGCAAACAGGAUUAGAUACCCUGGUAGUCCACGCCAUAAACGAUGAGGACUAGAUGUUGGAAGGGUUUGCCUUUCAGUGUCGCNGCUACGCGAUAAGUACCUCCGCCGUCGGGAGGUACGGCCGCGAGGUUAGUAACGUUAAAGUAAGUAGUAGACGUGUAGAGAGCGACGACGACGACGACGGAGGAGGAG
rnacentral:rRNA from 1 species